rnacentral:rRNA from 1 species
AGAGUUUGAUCAUGGCUCAGAUUGAACGCUGGCGGCAGGCCUAACACAUGCAAGUCGAGCGCGAAAGGCUUUCGGGCUGAGUAGAGCGGCGGACGGGUGAGUAACGCGUAGGAAUCUACCUGGUAGUGGGGGACAACUUGGGGAAACUCAAGCUAAUACCGCAUACGCCCUAUGGGGGAAAGCGGGGGACCUUCGGGCCUCGCGCUAUCAGAUGAGCCUGCGUAGGAUUAGCUUGUUGGUGAGGUAAAGGCUCACCAAGGCGACGAUCCUUAGCUGGUCUGAGAGGAUGAUCAGCCACACUGGGACUGAGACACGGCCCAGACUCCUACGGGAGGCAGCAGUGGGGAAUAUUGCCAAUGGGGGCAACCCUGACGCAGCCAUGCCGCGUGUGUGAAGAAGGCCUUCGGGUUGUAAAGCACUUUAAGUGGGGAGAAAAGGGUAGCGGUUAAUAGCCGUUACCUGUGAUGUUACCCACAGAAUAAGCACCGGCUAACUCCGUGCCAGCAGCCGCGGUAAUACGGAGGGUGCGAGCGUUAAUCGGAAUUACUGGGCGUAAAGCGCGCGUAGGCGGUUUGUUAAGUCAGCUGUGAAAGCCCCGGGCUCAACCUGGGAACUGCAGUUGAUACUGGCCGACUAGAGUACGAGAGAGGGAGGUAGAAUUCCAUGUGUAGCGGUGAAAUGCGUAGAUAUAUGGAGGAAUACCGGUGGCGAAGGCGGCCUCCUGCUCGAUACUGACGCUGAGGUGCGAAAGCGUGGGGAUCAAACAGGAUUAGAUACCCUGGUAGUCCACGCCGUAAACGAUGUCUACUAGCCGUUGGGAGACUUGAUUUCUUAGUGGCGCAGCUAACGCAAUAAGUAGACCGCCUGGGGAGUACGGCCGCAAGGUUAAAACUCAAAUGAAUUGACGGGGGCCCGCACAGGCGGUGGAGCAUGUGGUUUAAUUCGAUGCAACGCGAAGAACCUUACCAGGUCUUGACAUCCAGAGAACUUGGCAGAGAUGCCUUGGUGCCUUCGGGAGCUCUGAGACAGGUGCUGCAUGGCUGUCGUCAGCUCGUGUCGUGAGAUGUUGGGUUAAGUCCCGUAACGAGCGCAACCCUUGUCCUUAGUUGCCAGCACGUAAUGGUGGGAACUCUAAGGAGACUGCCGGUGACAAACCGGAGGAAGGUGGGGACGACGUCAAGUCAUCAUGGCCCUUACGACCUGGGCUACACACGUGCUACAAUGGAACGCACAGAGGGCAGCAAAGGCGCGAGCUGGAGCCAAUCCCACAAAACGUUUCGUAGUCCGGAUCGGAGUCUGCGACUCGACUCCGUGAAGUCGGAAUCGCUAGUAAUCGUGGAUCAGAAUGCCACGGUGAAUACGUUCCCGGGCCUUGUACACACCGCCCGUCACACCAUGGGAGUGGGUUGCUCCAGAAGUGGUUAGCCUAACCUUCGGGGGGGCGAUCACCACGGAGUGGUUCAUGACUGGGGUGAAGUCGGAACAAGGUA